rnacentral:siRNA from 1 species
AAACGCAGCGGGUGCGGUUGCGGU